AGUGAACGCUGGCGGUAGGCCUAACACAUGCAAGUCGAACGGCAGCACAGUAAGAGCUUGCUCUUACGGGUGGCGAGUGGCGGACGGGUGAGGAAUACAUCGGAAUCUACUUUUUCGUGGGGGAUAACGUAGGGAAACUUACGCUAAUACCGCAUACGACCUACGGGUGAAAGCAGGGGAUCUUCGGACCUUGCGCGAUUGAAUGAGCCGAUGUCGGAUUAGCUAGUUGGCGGGGUAAAGGCCCACCAAGGCGACGAUCCGUAGCUGGUCUGAGAGGAUGAUCAGCCACACUGGAACUGAGACACGGUCCAGACUCCUACGGGAGGCAGCAGUGGGGAAUAUUGGACAAUGGGCGCAAGCCUGGUCCAGCCAUACCGCGUGGGUGAAGAAGGCCUUCGGGUUGUAAAGCCCUUUUGUUGGGAAAGAAAAGAAGCAGGUUAAUACCCCGCUGUUCUGACGGUACCCAAAGAAUAAGCACCGGCUAACUUCGUG
rnacentral:rRNA from 1 species